rnacentral:RNase_P_RNA from 1 species
AGGUGUAGGUGGACGGCUGACGGUGAAGCCCUUUUCUUAGGGGGCUUCGCUGAGGAAAGUCCUCCCUCGCUCUGGACCAGGGAUCCGCGUAAGCGGAAGGGGCGAGAGCCCCUGCAGAGGAGCAGAAACGACACAGCCAGCAGAUUAUGCAAUGAUACGCGUUUGGCGUUGAGGUCUCUGCUGGAUUUGGUGAAACGGCCAUCUGCCCCUGGAGCAAGCCCAAACAGUGGAGAUCGGUUGUCCAGACCGUUCCACAGGUGGGGCGCUUAGUAGAAUGCCGUCCCAAAACAGAAGGAGGCUUACGGCCUACACCU